rnacentral:rRNA from 1 species
CAAUAGCGUAUAUUAAAGUUGUUGCAGUUAAAAAGCUCGUAGUUGGAUUUCUGGUUGAAGCGACCGGUCGGGCGUUGAUUCGUCUGCACUGGAGUCGGUUUUGGCCAUCCUCUAGGAAAGUGCGUCUGGUAUUAAGUUAUCGGGCGUAUGAUCCUGGUCUUUUACUGCGAAAAAAUUAGAGUGUUUAAAGCAGGCCUUCGCCUUGAAUACAUUAGCAUGGAAUAAUAAGAUAGGACUUUGGUCUAUUUUGUUGGUUUGCAGACCGAAGUAAUGAUUAAUAGGGAUAGUUGGGGGUAUUUAUAUUCCGAUGUCAGAGGUGAAAUUCUUAGAUUUUCGGAAGAUAAACUUAUGCGAAAGCAUUUACCAAGGAUGUUUUCAUUAA